rnacentral:rRNA from 1 species
UAUAAUGCAGUCGAGCGAACAGACGAGGAGCUUGCUCCUCUGACGUUAGCGGCGGACGGGUGAGUAACACGUGGAUAACCUACCUAUAAGACUGGGAUAACUUCGGGAAACCGGAGCUAAUACCGGAUAACAUGUUGAACCGCAUGGUUCAACAGUGAAAGACGGUCUUGCUGUCACUUAUAGAUGGAUCCGCGCCGCAUUAGCUAGUUGGUAAGGUAACGGCUUACCAAGGCAACGAUGCGUAGCCGACCUGAGAGGGUGAUCGGCCACACUGGAACUGAGACACGGUCCAGACUCCUACGGGAGGCAGCAGUAGGGAAUCUUCCGCAAUGGGCGAAAGCCUGACGGAGCAACGCCGCGUGAGUGAAGAAGGUCUUCGGAUCGUAAAACUCUGUUAUUAGGGAAGAACAAAUGUGUAAGUAACUAUGCACGUCUUGACGGUACCUAAUCAGAAAGCCACGGCUAACUACGUGCCAGCAGCCGCGGUAAUACGUAGGUGGCAAGCGUUAUCCGGAAUUAUUGGGCGUAAAGCGCGCGUAGGCGGUUUUUUAAGUCUGAUGUGAAAGCCCACGGCUCAACCGUGGAGGGUCAUUGGAAACUGGAAAACUUGAGUGCAGAAGAGGAAAGUGGAAUUCCAUGUGUAGCGGUGAAAUGCGCAGAGAUAUGGAGGAACACCAGUGGCGAAGGCGACUUUCUGGUCUGUAACUGACGCUGAUGUGCGAAAGCGUGGGGAUCAAACAGGAUUAGAUACCCUGGUAGUCCACGCCGUAAACGAUGAGUGCUAAGU